rnacentral:rRNA from 1 species
GACAGAGGUGCCAAGCGUUAGGCGGAAUCACUGGGCUUAAAGCGUGUGUAGGCGGGCGAUCAAGUACCUUUGAAAUCCCACGGCUCAACCGUGGAACUGCUGGGUAUACUGGUUGUCUUGAGCCAGCUAGGGGCGAGCGGAACAGACGGUGGAGCGGUGAAAUGCGUAGAUAUCGUCUGGAACGCCGAAGGUGAAAACAGCUCGCUGGGGCUGCGCUGACGCUGAGACACGAAAGCCAGGGGAGCGAACGGG